GGUUAAGCGACUAAGCGUACACGGUGGAUGCCCUGGCAGUCAGAGGCGAUGAAGGACGUGCUAAUCUGCGAAAAGCGCCGGCGAGGUGAUAUGAACCUUUGACCCGGCGAUGUCCGAAUGGGGAAACCCAGUGCAAUUCGUUGCACUAUCGUUAACUGAAUACAUAGGUUAACGAGGCGAACCGGGGGAACUGAAACAUCUAAGUACCCCGAGGAAAAGAAAUCAACCGAGAUUCCCCCAGUAGCGGCGAGCGAACGGGGAGCAGCCCAGAGUCUGAAUCAGCUUGUGUGUUAGUGGAAGCGUCUGGAAAGUCGCACGGUACAGGGUGACAGUCCCGUACACGAAAGCACACAGGCUGUGAACUCGAAGAGUAGGGCGGGACACGUGGUAUCCUGUCUGAAUAUGGGGGGACCAUCCUCCAAGGCUAAAUACUCCUGACUGACCGAUAGUGAACCAGUACCGUGAGGGAAAGGCGAAAAGAACCCCGGCGAGGGGAGUGAAAAAGAACCUGAAACCGUGUACGUACAAGCAGUGGGAGCACC
rnacentral:rRNA from 1 species